CCUACGGGAGGCAGCAGUGGGGAAUAUUGCACAAUGGGGGAAACCCUGAUGCAGCGACGCCGCGUGAGUGAAGAAGUAAUUCGUUAUGUAAAGCUCUAUCAGCAGGGCAGAAAAUGACGGUACCUGCGGAAGAAUCCGCGGCGAAGUACGUGCCAGCAGCCGCGGUAAUACGUAGGGGGCAAGCGUUAUCCGGAUUUACUGUGUGUUAAGGGAGCGUAGACGGCAGGGCAGGCAGUGAGUGAAAGGCUGGGGCUCAACCCGCGGACUGCUCUGGAAACGGUACGGUUGCAGGGCAGGAGAGGUAAGGGGAAGUCCUAGUGAGGCGGUGAAAGGCGGAGAGAUUAGGAGGAAACCCAGGGGCGAAGGCGGCUUACUGGACUGUAACGGAGGUUGGGGCUGGAAAGCUUGGGGAGCAAAAGGGAUAAGAAACCCUGGUAGUC
rnacentral:rRNA from 1 species